GAAAUGCGAUAAGUAAUGUGAAUUGCAGAAUUCAGUGAAUCAUCGAAUCUUUGAACGCACAUUGCGCCCGCCAGUAUUCUGGCGGGCAUGCCUGUUCGAGCGUCAUUACAACCCUCAGGCCCCCGGGCCUGGCGUUGGGGAUCGGCGGAAGCCCCCUGCGGGCACAACGCCGUCCACCAAAUACAGUGGCGGUCCCGCCGCAGCUUCCAUUGCGUAGUAGCUAACACCUCGCAACUGGAGAGCGGCGCGGCCACGCCGUAAAACACCCAACUUCUGAAUGUUGACCUCGAAUCAGGUAGGAAUACCCGCUGAACUUAAGC
rnacentral:misc_RNA from 1 species